rnacentral:rRNA from 1 species
GACGUAGGUGGCGAACGUUAUCCGGAAUUAUUGGGCGUAAAGGGUGCGUAGAUGGCCUGAUAAGUUAGCAGUGGGAAAUCGAGGCUCAACCUCGUGGAAGCUGGUAAUACUGUCAGGCUCGAGUGCAGGAGAGGUUAACGGAACUCCAUGUGGAGCGGUAAAAUGUGUAGAUAUAUGGAAGAACACCAAUAACGGCGAAGGCAGUUAACUAUUCUGUUACUGACAUUGAGGCACGAAAGCGUGGGGGAAGCAAAACGGG